GCGGAUGUGGCGGAACUGGUAGACGCGCUGGAUUUAGGUUCCAGUGUCGAAAGACGUGGGAGUUCGAGUCUCUUCAUCCGCACCA
rnacentral:tRNA from 1 species